GUUGGAGGUAGGGGUAAUUAAAGAGAGUAGUCUCUUAGUAGCUGUGUGACCCCCAGAGUGGAUCGGAAGUGACUUGUAGCUGGGCAGACAUAACUAUAUCAACAGAUUGGUUGUGGCUGUGUUUUAUGGUCAAUUCUGUCCUUCCCUGUAUUUCACAGGUUGAAGCAACAGUGUUAAGAAGAGAAACUCAAAGAAAAAUGGAACCGUAGUGGGCAAAACUGUGGUUCAUAAGUGUGAUCAUUCUCCAUCAUUCGGUUUCCAGCUUCCUUAACUUUUAUUCCUCCUUUGCUCUAUCCUCACAGAAUUGCUGGAAUCCACAAAUACCAAACUAUGGCUAUUGAAGCCGACCUUGGAGGUGGCAGCUUGGUUUAUCUUGCUUAUUUUCAUCCUGGAGAUCCUUCUUAAGUGGCUAUCCAACUUUUCCGUUUUCUGGAAGAGUGCCUGGAAUGUCUUUGACUUUGUUGUUACCAUGUUGGGACCUCCCGAAUUCCCUGGUAACAGUGUUCAUUCUCUUCACCUUGGAUCAUUGGUAUGCACUGCUUCAGGACGUCUGGAAGGUGCCUGAAGUCAGUCUCAUCUUCAGCAGCAUCUAUUUCAUCCUUUGGUUGUUGCUUGGCUCCAUUAUCUUUCGAAGUAUCAUAGUAGCCAUGAUGGG